rnacentral:lncRNA from 1 species
ACAGGGAGGGUAUUACGGCGUGUAUGUAGGUGAUGGCGAAGUGACGUUUGUUGAUGUUGAUGGCCUGGUCACAACUAAGACAGUGAAUGAGAAUCUCACAAUACCCAUAGCUACAGAACAAAUAGACAAAUCUGCAAGCUAUUACUGGCUGCAGCCUCUGAGUCGGUUGGAGACAUCCCGGCGAGCGAAAGAUUUGAUUGGACAGUAUUUCACCGGAAGUGGUGAAGACCUCGCCUGGUUUUGUAGGUUCGACGUCCCUGGCGUGCCUAAGUAGACUGACGACGACGACGACGUUGUCAACCUCCUGGUAAUAUGACUACUACAGAGAUCUGUUUGAGAACAGUGGAACACUGCAUGUCUGUUAAUGUUUUUCAACGUCAAAUACGAUUAAGUGACAUCUUCACAUAGUAUACUGGACAAAAAUAGUUAGGGAUAUAUAUUUAAGUUUUGAAAUUAUGAAUAAUGAUCUAUUUAUUCAUUGACACUCUGAUAUAAUAUCAAUCAUAAAAAUACCAAUAUCCCUAACUUAUUUUGUCCAGUAUAUUAACGGAUUUCUGAAUGGACUGUUGUGUUUUCUCUCGUUCACCUUUAUGUAAUCCAACCUGUUGAUGUUCUUCACGGGUAUUAAAUGCAUUGUUAUAUCG